rnacentral:sRNA from 1 species
GCCAGGUAUGUUGGUAUGCACCUGUAGUCCCAGGUACUCAGGAGGUUGAGAGAAGAGGUUUGCUGGAAACCAGGACUUUGAGGGCACCCUGGGCAAUACAGCAAGACCCUGUCUCAA